UUAAAUCAGUUAUCGUUUAUUUGAUAGUACCUUACUACUUGGAUAACCGUGGUAAUUCUAGAGCUAAUACAUGCUGAAAACCCCAACUUCGGGAGGGGUGUAUUUAUUAGAUAAAAAACCAACGCCCUUCGGGGCUUCUUGGUGAUUCAUGAUAACUUCUCAGAUCGCAUGGCCUUGCGCCGGCGACGGUUCAUUCAAAUUUCUGCCCUAUCAACUUUCGAUGGUAAGGUAUUGGCUUACCAUGGUUUCAACGGGUAACGGGGAAUUAGGGUUCGAUUCCGGAGAGGGAGCCUGAGAAACGGCUACCACAUCCAAGGAAGGCAGCAGGCGCGCAAAUUACCCAAUCCCGACUCGGGGAGGUAGUGACAAUAAAUACUGAUACAGGGCUCUUUUGGGUCUUGUAAUUGGAAUGAGUACAAUUUAAACCUCUUAACGAGGAACAAUUGGAGGGCAAGUCUGGUGCCAGCAGCCGCGGUAAUUCCAGCUCCAAUAGCGUAUAUUAAAGUUGUUGCAGUUAAAAAGCUCGUAGUUGAACCUUUGGCCUGGCUGGUGGGUCCGCCUCACCGCGUGCACUCGUCCGGCCGGGCCUUCUCUUCUGGAGAACCUCAUGCCCUUCACUGGGUGUGCUGGGGACCAGGACUUUUACUUUGAAAAAAUUAGAGUGUUCAAAGCAGGCCUUUGCUCGAAUACGUUAGCAUGGAAUAAUAGAAUAGGACGUGCGGUCCUAUUUUGUUGGUUUCUAGGACCGCCGUAAUGAUUAAUAGGGACAGUCGGGGGCAUCAGUAUUCAAUUGUCAGAGGUGAAAUUCUUGGAUUUAUUGAAGACUAACUACUGCGAAAGCAUUUGCCAAGGAUGUUUUCAUUAAUCAGUGAACGAAAGUUAGGGGAUCGAAGACGAUCAGAUACCGUCGUAGUCUUAACCAUAAACUAUGCCGACUAGGGAUCGGGCGGUGUUUCUAUAUUGACCCGCUCGGCACCUUACGAGAA
rnacentral:rRNA from 1 species